rnacentral:tRNA from 1 species
ACCUGGGUGGCUCAGUCGGUUGAGCAUCUGACUUUGGCUCAGGUCAUGAUCUCAGGGUUCGUGGGGUCGAGCCCCACGUCGGGCU